AUGGCGGGAGUGGUUUCACUCAGGAAUGGCUAUAUAUGGAGAGUCGGAACAGGAGAAAAUAUUGACAUAUGGAGAGAUGCAUGGAUCCCAAAUUGUGCAGAUAGGAAAAUUAUUACACCAAGAAGGGGGAAUCUCCUGACGAAAGUUUCUGAGCUUAUUGACCCAAUCACGAAUUGUUGGGAUGAAGAUUUGGAAUGGAAAAAGCAGCAUGGGAGGAAAUUGGAAUACUCAGAUGGCAUGGGUAGAAGUAAGGUCAAUCCUAUUUGGGGAGAGACAGUCCUUGAAUUCUUACUCCUUAUGCCUGAUCAUGAAUUACCUAUCUUGGGCUCCCGGAAUGCAGGGGAACUAAUCGCUAUAGCUGCUUGGUAUUUAUGGUGGAAUAAACGGAAACUAGUUCAUGAGGCGGGUGCUGUUAUCAGAGAUGACAAAGGGAAUUUCAUAGUAGGUGGUAAUUGGAAGAUUCAGUACUGUGCGGAUGCUCUGACAGCGGAGGCGUUAGCCCUCAGGAUGGAUGGAUUGAUGAGACGGCCACACAGACAUAUAUCAAGAGGCUGGCUGGCUAAGCUAUUGAUAGAGGUUCCUGAUAAUUCUGAUCCAAAUGAAAGAGAGCUGUCGAUCUAA
rnacentral:rRNA from 1 species